rnacentral:rRNA from 1 species
GACGAACGCUGGCGGCGUGCUUAACACAUGCAAGUCGAACGGAAAGGCCCUGCUUGCAGGGUACUCGAGUGGCGAACGGGUGAGUAACACGUGGGUGAUCUGCCCUGCACUUCGGGAUAAGCCUGGGAAACUGGGUCUAAUACCGGAUAGGAGCCAUUUUUAGUGUGAUGGUUGGAAAGUUUUUUCGGUGUAGGAUGAGCUCGCGGCCUAUCAGCUUGUUGGUGGGGUAAUGGCCUACCAAGGCGGCGACGGGUAGCCGGCCUGAGAGGGUGGACGGCCACAUUGGGACUGAGAGACGGCCCAGACGCCUACGGGAGGCAGCAGUGGGGAAUAUUGCACAAUGGGCGCAAGCCUGAUGCAGCGACGCCGCGUGGGGGAUGACGGCCUUCGGGUUGUAAACUCCUUUCGCUAGGGACGAAGCUUUUUGUGACGGUACCUAGAGAAGAAGCACCGGCUAACUACGUG